AGAGUUUGAUCCUGGCUCAGAAUGAACGCUGGCGGCGUGCCUGAUACAUGCAAGUCGAGCGCGAAAGUGGCCUUCGGGCCGCGAGUAGAGCGGCGAACGGGUGAGUAACACGUGGGUAACCUGCCUUGGAGUGGGGAAUAACUUGGGGAAACCCGAGCUAAUGCCGCGUACGCUCGCCAGACCUUCGGGUCCGGCGAGGAAAGGUGGCCUAUUCUUGAAAGCUGCCGUUCCAAGAGGGGCCCGCGCCCGAUUAGCUAGUUGGUGAGGUAACGGCUCACCAAGGCGACGAUCGGUAGUCGGCCUGAGAGGGUGAUCGGCCACACUGGAACUGAGACACGGUCCAGACCGCUACGGUGGGCAGCAGUACGGGAUAUUGCGCAAUGGGCGAAAGCCUGACGCAGCAACGCCGCGUGAAGGAUGAAGGCCUUCGGGUCGUAAACUUCUGUCAGGCGGGACGAACGAGCGGCGGUGAAUACCCGCCGUUUCUUGACGGUACCGCCGGAGGAAGCCCCGGCUAACUCCGUGCCAGCAGCCGCGGUAAUACGGAGGGGGCAAGCGUUAUUCGGAAUUAUUGGGCGUAAAGGGCGUGUAGGCGGCUUGAUAACCCAAAGGUGAAAUCCCUCA
rnacentral:rRNA from 1 species